rnacentral:lncRNA from 1 species
AUAGAUCAGUUAGCUGUCUACCAUGAGGAGAGAACUAGGUCAAUUACCAAGCCAAACAAUAUCAAAUUUUGAAAACGACCCACCCACCUACCAAUCAGCUGGACCUAGUCAUCAAUCCAAUGCCCCACUUAAGAAUCUUCAAUUUGAAAAUGACAAAGUAAUCUCUGAGCUUAAAAGUGAUAGGAUUUUUAAGGACCCAUAUC